rnacentral:rRNA from 1 species
AUUGCCCUCGGGGGGCAGCAGUAGGGAAUCUUCGGCAAUGGGCGAAAGCCUGACCGAGCAACGCCGCGUGAAUGAAGAAGGCCUUCGGGUUGUAAAAUUCUGUUAUAAGGGAAGAAAGGUGAUAGGAGGAAAUGACUAUCAAUUGACGGUACCUUAUGAGAAAGCCACGGCUAACUACGUGCCAGCAGCCGCGGUAAUACGUAGGUGGCAAGCGUUAUCCGGAAUUAUUGGGCGUCAAGCGCGCGCAGGUGGUUAAUUAAGUCUGAUGUGAAAGCCCACGGCCUAACCGUGUAUGGUCUUUGGAA